rnacentral:rRNA from 1 species
AGUGAACGCUGGCGGUAGGCCUAACACAUGCAAGUCGAACGGCAGCACAGUAAGAGCUUGCUCUUCCGGGUGGCGAGUGGCGGACGGGUGAGGAAUACAUCGGAAUCUACUUUUUCGUGGGGGAUAACGUAGGGAAACUUACGCUAAUACCGCAUACGACCUACGGGUGAAAGCAGGGGAUCUUCGGACCUUGCGCGAUUGAAUGAGCCGAUGUCGGAUUAGCUAGUUGGCGGGGUAAAGGCCCACCAAGGCGACGAUCCGUAGCUGGUCUGAGAGGAUGAUCAGCCACACUGGAACUGAGACACGGUCCAGACUCCUAAGGGAGGCAGCAGUGGGGAAUAUUGGACAAUGGGCGCAAGCCUGAUCCAGCCAUACCGCGUGGGUGAAGAAGGCCUUCGGGUUGUAAAGACCUUUUGUUGGGAAAGAAAAGCAGCAGGUUAAUACCCAGCUGUUCUGACGGUACCCAAAGAAUAAGCACCGGCUAACUUCGUG